UUAGUGACGUCAAGUGAAAACCAGCAAUAUAAGGAUUAGCGGGCAUUAUUCAGCAAUUUGGCAAGACGUUGAAGAGGGGUACCCUGAGAUGGAAAACCUUCCAAUUUGGGUCCACCUAUAAGCAAUCAUGCCUUACACAUUUUGAAGUCAUCAUACUUAAUCGUUUUCCUCCGCCCAUGAGAAAUUGGCCUUCUGUGCGCUUUCAAUGACUAUGAUUUUUAGCGACUAUAUUACUUACUUUCCAAAGGGAAUUUCCAAGAUGCACUCGAGGAUCUAAAACAUGCAGAGGAAAUAACAGAUAAAAAUCCCACAGUUUCACAAGAACUUGGUUAUGACCAUGCCAAGUGGAGAGCAAAAGCACAACUCCUCAAAGGAGAAGUAGAGCACGAUAAAAAUGACUUCAGAAAAGCUUUAAGUUGCUACACUGAAGGAAUUGAACAGAAAUGCACAGAUUGCAAACUAAACGCCGAGCUUUACGCGAGGAGGGCGCACUCGCAUUGUCAUCUGGGUAAUACUCAUAAAGCACUCGAGGAUGUAAACCGCGCAAAAGAAAUCGUUCAGACUAAUGACACAGUUGAGAAACCGAGCACUUCACUAGAAAUGUUUCCUUGGAGUUCUUUUGUGAGAGGUGAGGAAAAAUGGCAAUAUAGUAAUGCGUUCGACUAU